ACGCUCGACACCUACGGGGGCAGCAGUGGGGGAUAUUGCACAAUGGGGGAAACCCUGAUGCAGCAACGCCGCGUGAAGGAAGAAGGUCUUCGGAUUGUAAACUUCUGUCCUCAGGGAAGAUAAUGACGGUACCUGAGGAGGAAGCUCCGGCUAACUACGUGCCUGCAGCCGCGGUAAUCUGAGCGGGCUGGCAAGGC
rnacentral:rRNA from 1 species